rnacentral:rRNA from 1 species
GCUUGUCUCAAAGAUUAAGCCAUGCAUGUCUAAGUACAAGCCUCAGUAAGGUGAAACCGCGAAUGGCUCAUUAAAUCACACCUAAUCUACUGGAAAGUUACUAGUUACUUGGAUAACUGAGGUAAUUCUUGAGCUAAUACAUGCGAAAAAUCUCGACUCACGGAGAGAUGCUUUUAUUAGAUCAAAACCAAACGGCUUCGGCCGUCUCAUUGGUGACUCUGAAUAACUUUGGGCUGAUCGUAUGGCCUUGUGCCGGCGAUGAAUCAUUCAAAUUUCUGCCCUAUCAACUUUCGAUGGUAAGGUAUUGGCUUACCAUGGUUACAACGGGUAACGGGGAAUUAGGGUUCGAUUCCGGAGAGGGGGCCUGAGAAAUGGCCACCACAUCCAAGGAAGGCAGCAGG